rnacentral:rRNA from 1 species
AGAUUGAACGCUGGCGGCAGGCCUAACACAUGCAAGUCGAGCGGUAGAGAGGUGCUUGCAUCUCUUGAGAGCGGCGGACGGGUGAGUAAUGCCUAGGAAUCUGCCUAGUGGUGGGGGAUAACGUUCGGAAACGGACGCUAAUACCGCAUACGUCCUACGGGAGAAAGCGGGGGACCUUCGGGCCUCGCGCCAUUAGAUGAGCCUAGGUCGGAUUAGCUAGUUGGUGAGGUAAUGGCUCACCAAGGCGACGAUCCGUAACUGGUCUGAGAGGAUGAUCAGUCACACUGGAACUGAGACACGGUCCAGACUCCUACGGGAGGCAGCAGUGGGGAAUAUUGGACAAUGGGCGAAAGCCUGAUCCAGCCAUGCCGCGUGUGUGAAGAAGGUCUUCGGAUUGUAAAGCACUUUAAGUGGAGGAAGGUUGUAACCUAAUACGUUGCAACUUUGACGUUACCGACUAGAAUAAGCACCGGCUAACUUCGUGCCAGCAGCCGA